rnacentral:misc_RNA from 1 species
GAAAUGCGAUAAGUAGUGUGAAUUGCAGAAUUCAGUGAAUCAUCGAAUCUUUGAACGCACAUUGCGCCCUUUGGUAUUCCUUAGGGUAUGCCUGUUCGAGCGUCAUCUAAACCUUCAAGCCCUGCUUGGUGUUGGGUGCCUGUCCCGCCUCCGCGCGCGGACUCACCUCAAAUCCAUUGGCGGCCCCCGCGUCGGCCACGAGCGCAGCAGAAACGCGAACUCGUGAGCCCGUCCGGGCGGCUCCCAGAAGCUACACCCACCCAGUUUGACCUCGGAUCAGGUAGGGAUACCCGCUGAACUUAAGC